UCGGGAAUUUUGGGCAAUGGGCGAAAGCCUGACCCAGCAACGCCGCGUGAAGGAUGAAGUAUUUCGGUAUGUAAACUUCGAAAGAAUAGGAAGAAUAAAUGACGGUACUAUUUAUAAGGUCCGGCUAACUACGUGCCAGCAGCCGCGGUAAUACGUAGGGACCAAGCGUUGUUCGGAUUUACUGGGCGUAAAGGGCGCGUAGGCGGCAAUUCAAGUCAUCUGUGAAAUCUCCGGGCUUAACUCGGAACGGUCAGAUGAUACUGCUUUGCUAGAGUGCAGAAGGGGCAAUCGGAAUUCUUGGUGUAGCGGUGAAAUGCGUAGAUAUCAAGAGGAACACCUGAGGUGAAGACGGGUUGCUGGGCCGACACUGACGCUGAGGCGCGAAAGCCAGGGGAGCAAACGGGAUUAGAUACCCAAGUAGUCCCUGAGCGGGCUGGCAAGGCGCAU
rnacentral:rRNA from 1 species